AGCCAGCUGCAGCUCAUUCCAGUACUCAACCAACAGUUAUCAACCCGGGCUGUUCACCUCUUCAGCGCCAGUUCGUUGCAACCAUUCUCGUGAUUCUGCCUCUGGACCCGCUGCUCAUCAGCGUUCAUCUGCCUCCUCGCUGCCUACUCACCUCGCCACUCCGCUCUCAACCAGCCAUUCCACCCAGCCGUCAUCUUCGCUGCCUGGCCACACACCCGCCUUCUGAUCUCCGGCUUCGACCCUACCUGGAGCAGCUAUCCUGGCCAUCUCCCUCCUCCACUAUCAAACAUCGUUUCUAAUAAACACUGUAAACUGCU